rnacentral:rRNA from 1 species
UACGUAGGGACCGAGCGUUUGUCCGGAAUCAUUGGGCGUAAAGAGCGUGUAGGCGGCUCGCUAAGUCUUGCGUGAAAUCUCGGGGCUCAACCCCGAGCGGUCGUGAGAAACUGGCGGGGCUAGAGUGCGGGAGAGGAGAGUGGAAUUCCUGGUGUAGCGGUGAAAUGCGCAGAUAUCAGGAGGAACACCGAUUGCGAAGGCAGCUCG